UACGUAGGGGGCAAGCGUUAUCCGGAUUUACUGGGUGUAAAGGGAGCGUAGGUGGUUUGGUAAGUCAGAAGUGAAAGCCCGGGGCUCAACCUCGGGACUGCUUUUGAAACUAUCGAACUAGAGUGCAGGAGGGGUAAGUGGAAUUCCUAGUGUAGCGGUGAAAUGCGUAGAUAUUAGGAGGAACACCAGUGGCGAAGGCGGCUUACUGGACUGUAACUGACACUGAGGCUCGAAAGCGUGGGGAGCAAACAGG
rnacentral:rRNA from 1 species